GGGGCCGUAGCUCAAUGGUAGAGUAUUGGAUUGCAGUUCCACUGGUUAUCGGUUCGAUUCCGGUCGUCCCCU